rnacentral:rRNA from 1 species
UCACUGGGUUUAAAGGGUCCGUAGGCGGUUUAGUAAGUCAGUGGUGAAAGCCCAUCGCUCAACGGUGGAACGGCCAUUGAUACUGCUAGACUUGAAUUAUUAGGAAGUAACUAGAAUAUGUAGUGUAGCGGUGAAAUGCUUAGAGAUUACAUGGAAUACCAAUUGCGGAGGCAGGUUAMUACUAAUGGAUUGACGCUGAUGGACGAAAGCGUGGGUAGCGAACAGGGUUAGAUACCCUGGUAGUCCACGCCGUAAACGAUGGAUACUAGCUGUUCGGAGCAAUCUCAGUGGCUAAGCGAAAGUGAUAAGUAUCCCACCUGGGGAGUACGUUCGCAAGAAUAAACUCAAAGGAAUUGACGGGGGCCCGCACAAGCGGGGAGCAUGUGGUUUAAUUCGAUGCUACGCGAGGAACCUUA